ACACCUACGGGGGGCAGCAGUGGGGAAUAUUGCACAAUGGGGGAAACCCUGAUGCAGCGACGCCGCGUGAGUGAAGAAGUAUUUCGGUAUGUAAAGCUCUAUCAGCAGGGAAGAUAAUGACGGUACCUGAGUAAGAAGCCCCGGCUAACUACGUGCCAGCAGCCGCGGUAAUACGUAGGGGGCAAGCGUUAUCCGGAUUUACUGGGUGUAAAGGGGGCGCAGACGGCAGCGCAAGCCAGGAGUGAAAGCCCGGGGCCCAACCCCGGGACUGCUUUUGGAACUGCGCGGCUGGAGUGCAGGAGGGG
rnacentral:rRNA from 1 species